UGCACAAAGCAUUACCUUUUCCUGUCAAAAGUUUGGACUCACCUGGUUUUUCUUUAUUCUCAUGACUAUUUAUGUUGUAGAUUGUCACUGAAGGCAUCAAAACUAUGAAUGAACACAUA